rnacentral:rRNA from 1 species
AGAUGUUGGGUUAAGUCCCGCAACGAGCGCAACCCUUUUCCUUACUUGCCAGCAUUUCGGAUGGGAACUUUAAGGAUACUGCCAGUGACAAACUGGAGGAAGGCGGGGACGACGUCAAGUCAUCAUGGCCCUUACGGCCAGGGCUACACACGUGCUACAAUGGUCGGUACAAAGGGUUGCUACACAGCGAUGUGAUGCUAAUCUCAAAAAGCCGAUCNUAGUCCGGAUUGGAGUCUGCAACUCGACUCCAUGAAGUCGGAAUCGCUAGUAAUCGCGGAUCAGAAUGCCGCGGUGAAUACGUUCCCGGGCCUUGUACACACCGCCCGUCACACCAUGGGAGUUUGU